rnacentral:rRNA from 1 species
AUUGAACGCUGGCGGCAGGCUUAACACAUGCAAGUCGAACGAGUGGCGGACGGGUGAGUAAUGCUUGGGAAUCUUGCUUAUGGCGGGGUCUAACUACGGGAAACUUUAGCUAAUACCGCGUACUAUAGGAUGAUCACAAGUGGGAUUAGGUCGUUGGGGGGGUAAUGGCCCACCAAGCCGACUAUCUCUAGCUGGUCUGAGAGGAUGACCAGCCACACCGGGACUGAGACACGGCCCGGACUCCUACGGGAGGCAGCAGUGGGGAAUAUUGCGCAAUGGGGGCAACCUGACGCAGCCAUGCCGCGUGAAUGAAGAAGGCCUUCGGGUUGUAAAGUUCUUUCGGUAGCGAGGCGUUAACUACAGAAGAAGCACCGGCUAACUCCGUGCCAGCAGCCGCGGUAAUUC